CCUACGGGGGGCAGCAGUGGGGAAUCUUGGACAAUGGGCGAAAGCCUGAUCCAGCAAUGCCGCGUGCGUGAAGAAGGCCUUCGGGUUGUAAAGCGCUUUUGUCGGGGAGGAAAUCCUAACGGUUAAUACCUGUUGGGGAUGACAGUACCCGAAGAAUAAGCACCGGCUAACUACGUGCCAGCAGCCGCGGUAAUACGUAGGGUGCAAGCGUUAAUCGGAAUUACUGGGCGUAAAGCGUCCGCAGGUGGCUUGAUAAGAUAGACGUGAAAUCCCUGGGCUCAACCUAGGAAUUGCGUAUAUGACUGUCUCGCUAGAGUAUGGGAGAGGGGGGUGGAAUUCCGCGUGUAGCAGUGAAAUGCGUAGAGAUGCGGAGGAACACCGAUGGCGAAGGCAACCCCCUGGCCUAAUACUGACACUCAUGGACGAAAGCGUGGGGAGCAAACAGGAUUAGAUACCCCUGUAGUC
rnacentral:rRNA from 1 species